rnacentral:lncRNA from 1 species
AGGCUGGUGUGUCUGUGGGCUGCUGGAGAGUCGUGGAGUCCUGUUUCAGUGGCUCCGUUCCCCCGGUUACCGAGUGAGCCGCACUUCCCCCAGGGUUGGGCUGUCCAGGCAUAGGUGCCAGUUUCAUAACGGCCAGAGGGAGUUCCUAAGUGCCCAAUUUCGGCCUUCAGGGUCUCUCUGUGUACUUGUUGCUACCCUGGAAAUCAGAUCAAGCUGGCCUUGAACUCAUAAAGAGACCCACUGGCCCUCUACCUCCUGGGUACUAGGAUUAAAAUCAUACAUGUCUUUUUGUUUUGUUUUAAGCUAGUCUCUGGUGGUAUAGAUCGGGCUCCUUUCAGCUCUUCCUCUGCCUCCUGAGUGCAUUCAUUAUACUUCUAUUGAACACUGCUACUCUAGAGACAAACAGUACCAGUCUGUAGGCUUUAGAAAAACUGCUUGAAUAAAAACAGGGGGAGACAAGAUAGGUGGGUAGUGCCGAAGAUAAGAGUCCCAGGGCCUAGAACAUGCUAAGUUUGUGCUCUACCAAGCAACUGCUCUUCCAAUAGAGUGAUUUUUCCUUUUUUGAGGCAGGAUCUCUCUUUAGCCUAGGCUGGCCUCAAUUUUUCGGCAAUCCUUCUGCCUCAGAGUCCUGAGAAUGCUUUUGAGCUUGGAAUUGUCCAAGGUUCAGCAAAAGGUACCCCAAGAGUAUUUGUGGUCUGAGGUGGCCGUUCCUGGUUGCCAGCUACGUCUGGGAUGAACUACAAUCCAGAAAUGGAGGGCACACCCAUGAUCCAGAUCUUGAGGCUGGAAAAUACAGGCUUCUGACCUGGAUCUUGAGGCAUAGUGGUCAUGAAAACCUUGAGGCCCAGGCAAGGUAGUGUAUAGUUUUAAUCUCAGGAGACUAAAGCAAGCAGAUCUCUGAAUUCAAAGUCAGCCUGGGGCAAAGCAAGUUCCAGGUCCAGGCGUGGUGGUACACACCUUUAAUCUGGGCCAAGUUGUCUGCUGGAGGCCUAAAUAAGGACAAUGGAAGAAGGGAAAGGCUUUGCAGCUUUACACUCACUUGCCAGGACAUCUGGACCCUACUUACUUCUUCAGGAUUCCAGCUUAGACAGAAGACCAGCUGAAACAACUAGCCUGGUGGGACUGAGCAACUGCUAGAUAUUGGGACUUCCCAUUCACAGCUGCCCAUUGUUGGGUUAGUUGGACAGCAGACUGUAAGUCAUUACAAUAAAUUCCCUUUAAAUAUAUAAAGACAUUCCAUAAGUUCUGUGACCCUAGAGAACCCUGACUAAUACAUGGUCCAUCAAAAAGACCCAGCAAAUAAAUAGUGGAUAGUGUCGGAAAAGUCCAGGCAGGUAAAUAAAGGUUAGCAAAAGUUUGUAUCACACAAACAAUGUGUGUGGAAUGCUUAGGCCUUGUGGUAGUUGGCAUGUGAGAUUCCAGCUGUGCUCAUACAAAGACAGUAGUGUGCUACUAGUAACAAAUAUGAAUAGGGAGGAUGAGAUAGGAUGGAAAAUACUGUAACACCUUGGUCAAAACAAUAAAUGCAAAGAUGAAUUAAAGAUAGACCAAUUCUAUCCUCAGGAAAUGAUCGAUUAUAUGUAUAAACUUUUGUAUAAACAUAUGUAUGUACACACAGACUAAUUUUGUUAAUAUACACAUUUUUUUCUUAAAGAUACUUUGAUGCAUAAACAUAUAUAUCU